ACCACCAUGUGGAUUUCUUACAUGCUAAAGAGGGCAAGCCACGGUACUGGACGAAUAUGUUCUUAACACCAACUUUUAGUCACCCGCUUGUAGUUUUAGCCUUCUUCACUAAUUCUGUUCUCAACCAUACUGAAUGCGGUUAUUUUACCUAUGAUGAUCCAAUCCUAAGUUAUAUUUGAAUAUAGAAAUAAUUGAAACAAAACAAUUAAUCUCUUUAAGUGUUCAAAGUCAACUGCGGCGCAAUAUCUCCCAAGGUUUGAACCAAUUCCAGGCAUUGCUCAACAUGAAUUUGCUUGAUGAAAGUUCAAGUACUGGUAAUGGAACAGAAGAUAGAACAGCAGAAACAAACUUUUGAGUGAAAAUCGAAAAAGAGCCUCCAAGAAUCGUCUUUGAUGAUAUUUUAUGCUAUAAAACGAUAUUUUCUCCAUAUAUAAUAU